UGUUAUAUUAGAGGGUAAAUGUAGAAUUAGAGGGUAAAUGUAGCAUUAGAGGGUAAAUGUAGCGUUAGAGGGUAAAUGUACCGUUAGAGGGUAAAUGUUCCGUUAGAGGGUAAAUGUAGCGUUAGAGGGUAAAUGUAGUGUUAGAGGGUAAAUGCAGCAUUAGAGGGUAAAUGUUAUGUUAGAGGACAAAUGUAGAAUUAGAGGGUAAAUGUAGCAUUAGAGGGUAAAUGUAGUAUUAGAGGGUAAAUGUAGCGUUAGAGGGUAAAUGCAGCAUUAGAGGGUAAAUGUUAUGUUCGAGGGUAAAUGUAGAAUUAGAGGGUAAAUGUAGCGUUAGAGGGUAAAUGUAGUAUUAGAGGGUAAAUGUACCAUUAGAGGGUAAAUGUAGCGUUAGAGGGUAAAUGUAGUAUUAGAGGGUAAAUGUAGCAUUAGAGGGUAAAUGUAGCGUUAGAGGGUAAAUGUAGAAUUAGAGGGUAAAUGUAGCAUUAGAGGGUAAAUGUAGCAUUAGAAGGUAAAUGUAGCAUUAGAGGGUAAAUGUAGUGUUAGAGGGUAAAUGUAGUGUUAGAGGGUAAAUGUAGCAUUAGAGGGUAAAUGUAGUGUUAGAGGGUAAAUGUAGCAUUAGAGGGUAAAUGUAGCAUUAGAGGGUAAAUGUAGU